AGCGGCGUUUUACUUUUUUCUGAGCUUCCGGGCGGGCGCCCGUGGGACAUCCAAUUCUACCUAAGAACUGGCAGUAUGUUUUAACCAAAGUGCACCAGAAUAAACGUGUGUGAAAACCAGGGGGAGCACUGUGCGCUGGCCCUGGUAACCGUCCCUGCACAUCACCUGCAGUGCUGCUGGCGGAGGUGGCAACUAAGCAAAGCUGCUUGGCCAAACCCCAAUGACAAGGACCUCUGCUUGAAAGCUCAGGUGACAGCUGAACAGGCGGCCUCGUGUGCCCCACAAGUGGCAAAAAACCACCUACGAUGGGGUGUUUCACAGCCUGUGUCUUAAAGGCACGAACACAUUCUGGCUAGCCAGGGUGCCUGCAGCCUUCCCUCACAAAGCCUCCUGAAUUACCUUUGCCCAAAAUGGCAGUGACCCCUCCGGCUGCUCCCCUUCACCCCUCAGGGCAGCCCUCCAGGUUUUGAAAUGUCACUUGGCAGGAGUCCCUGGAGGAGACCACCUGGCUGUAGUCAACAGCACUUUGCCUCUUCACACUGCUGCUACAUCUGUCCUGCAGAUAAGACAAAUUCUACAAAAGAGAAGACGACCCGAGUAGCUGCUUUCAUGACUGCACUGGAAGGCAGGAACAUUAGAGAUGAAGCAAUUCUCUGAUCAAGUCAACACAGGUGAACGUCUCAGAGGCCUGGCACAGUGAAUUACUGGACUUUUGGGAAAAAGAGAACUAGCACUGUAUUUUGAGAAGCAGCUGACUGUUACAGCCUUUUGCCAGACAGUCAUCAAAGCCUCACAAGGAAGGAUGAAGGAGCUUGGUUUCAUCACAUUAAGAUGUGUGGCACUGACACAUCAAUCAGGUACUAGCAUGAAAUUGUUCAGCAUGUUACAGAGACACUGGUGAAGCAUGAGACAAGGUAAAUUAGGAGGGUUGCUGAGUUCCAAACAUCUGCUAGCUGUGUCUAGCUUCUUGAUGGCUUCAUUGAGAAGCAUUACACAGUGCAAAAUGUCAUUGGGCCAUUGACAUCAGAGUUUACAAAGAACAAAGGAGGUGGCAUCUCCAAGGGAGUCAAGACAGAAGAACAGAAGUGCCCAGGAACAACCCAGCUGAGUAUCACUAAUAACAAAACAUUUUAGACACCGUAUGGCAUUGUGUAAUUGUGAUAGACUGCAACAAAGCCCUUUUGUGAAGUUCAGUGGGUGUCAGACUGGGCCUGUAUAUCAUAAGCAGUAACACCCAAGAACAACUCUUAUUAACGCUCUAUUUAGCAGCACAAAUUUUCAUCUUCCUUUUCUUCAGAAGUAGAAGAUACCUAACUCACAGGUAUAUUUUCAAGACAUACCUGUGGG